rnacentral:rRNA from 1 species
UAUCGCACUCCUACGGAGGCAGCAGUGGGGAAUAUUGCACAAUGGGCGCAAGCCUGAUGCAGCCAUGCCGCGUGUAUGAAGAAGGCCUUCGGGUUGUAAAGUACUUUCAGCAGUGAGGAAGGUGGGUAUGUUAAUAGCAUACUCAUUUGACGUUAGCUGCAGAAGAAGCACCGGCUAACUCCGUGCCAGCAGCCGCGGUAAUACGGAGGGUGCGAGCGUUAAUCGGAAUUACUGGGCGUAAAGCGCAUGCAGGUGGUUUGUUAAGUCAGAUGUGAAAGCCCGGGGCUCAACCUCGGAAUUGCAUUUGAAACUGGCAAACUAGAGUACUGUAGAGGGGGUAGAAUUUCAGGUGUAGCGGUGAAAUGCGUAGAGAUCUGAAGGAAUACCGGUGGCGAAGGCGGCCCCCUGGACAGAUACUGACACUCAGAUGCGAAAGCGUGGGGAGCAAACAGGAUUAGAUACCCUGGUAG